AAAUCCCCGGGCUUAACCUGGGAAUGGCGCCUGUGACUGUAUAACUAGAGUGUGUCAGAGGGGGGUAGAAUUCCACGUGUAGCAGUGAAAUGCGUAGAUAUGUGGAGGAAUACCAAUGGCGAAGGCAGCCCCCUGGGAUAACACUGACGCUCAUGCACGAAAGCGUGGGGAGCAAACAGGAUUAGAUACCCUGGUAGUCCACGCCCUAAACGAUGCUGACUAGUUGUUCGGGAUUUACAUCCUGAGUAACGUAGCUAACGCGUGAAGUCAGCCGCCUGGGGAGUACGGUCGCAAGAUUAAAACUCAAAGGAAUUGACGGGGACCCGCACAAGCGUGGAUGAUGUGGAUUAAUUCGAUGCAAC
rnacentral:rRNA from 1 species